rnacentral:rRNA from 1 species
GUGUCAGCAGCCGCGGUAAGACGAACCGAGCGAACGUUAUUCGGAAUUACUGGGCUUAAAGGGUGCGUAGGCGGCGUGGAAAGUGGGGUGUGAAAGCCCUCAGCUUAACUGAGGAAUUGCGUCCCAAACUACCAUGCUCGAGGGAGACAGAGGUCAGUGGAACUUCGGGUGGAGCGGUGAAAUGUGUUGAUAUCCGAAGGAACACCGGUGGCGAAAGCGACUGACUGGGUCUUUUCUGACGCUGAGGCACGAAAGCUAGGGUAGCGAACGGGAUUAGAUACCCCGGUAGUCC